UCUUUGAUGGUCUAACGGUUAUGAUUUCCGCUUGUCAAUGCACACCGCGGGAGACCGGGGUUCGACUCCCCGUCAGAGAG
rnacentral:tRNA from 1 species